rnacentral:rRNA from 1 species
GAUGAACGCUGGCGGCGUGCCUAAUACAUGCAAGUUGAGCGAACGGACGAGAAGCUUGCUUCUCUGAUGUUAGCGGCGGACGGGUGAGUAACACGUGGAUAACCUACCUAUAAGACUGGGAUAACUUCGGGAAACCGGAGCUAAUACCGGAUAAUAUUUUGAACCGCAUGGUUCAAAAGUGAAAGACGGUCUUGCUGUCACUUAUAGAUAGAUCCGCGCUGCAUUAGCUAGUUGGUAAGGUAACGGCUUACCAAGGCAACGAUGCAUAGCCGACCUGAGAGGGUGAUCGGCCACACUGGAACUGAGACACGGUCCAGACUCCUACGGGAGGCAGCAGUAGGGAAUCUUCCGCAAUGGGCGAAAGCCUGACGGAGCAACGCCGCGUGAGUGAUGAAGGUCUUCGGAUCGUAAAACUCUGUUAUUAGGGAAGAACAUAUGUGUAAGUAACUGUGCACAUCUUGACGGUACCUAAUCAGAAAGCCACGGCUAACUACGUG